CCCACAUACCCUUUUCAAAAUUUGGACACUACUUUGAUUUAUCUAAAACAAUGGCUCCAGAACUAAUCCAAAAUGUUAAAUGGGAUGGUUUUUUCAUUCCUGAAGAAGCAGGCUUGGAUAUUGAUGAAAAGUCAUGUAAUAAGGCAUGUGCUUACACCAGACUGCUUCAUUCUAUUCAGAAAGUCAUUUGUCAACAAGGAUACAGUGGGUCCACUUUUCAG